GCCGACAGGAGGCUGUGAACCUUUUAAGCAUCUGUUUCAGCGUGCCAUUAAAACGUUCACAGAGUCCAUUCAUCUACGGUGAUACGGAAAACAAAAACGGGUUUUACUCUGCAAAAUUGCUGGGUAACAGUUGCGGUAAAUUGGGUUUCCUGGUCCAACGAAAUCUCCAGAGGAAAGCCCACUCAAGUAAACAUUUUAACUAAUGCUUCUGCUACUAUUUCAGCAUCUAUGUUGGGGAGUGCUACUGCCUCUGGGUACCAGGUAGCGUAGUCUACCACGGUGAGGAUGUACUUCUUGCCCAAGGUGCAGGGCUUACUGAGAGGGCCUAUCAAGUCCACUCGGUGGAAGGGUUCCUCAAUUAUGGGCAACAGGUGUAACUUGGUCUUGGGAUGGUCA